rnacentral:rRNA from 1 species
UGGGGAAUAUUGCACAAUGGGCGAAAGCCUGAUGCAGCGACGCCGCGUGAGGGAUGACGGCCUUCGGGUUGUAAACCUCUUUCAGCAGGGACGAAGCGCAAGUGACGGUACCUGCAGAAGAAGCACCGGCUAACUACGUGCCAGCAGCCGCGGUAAUACGUAGGGUGCAAGCGUUGUCCGGAAUUACUGGGCGUAAAGAGUUCGUAGGCGGUUUGUCGCGUCGUUUGUGAGAACCAGCAGCUCAACUGCUGGCUUGCAGGCGAUACGGGCAGACUUGAGUACUGCAGGGGAGACUGGAAUUCCUGGUGUAGCGAUGAAAUGCACGGAUAUCAGGAGGAACACCGGUGGCGAAGGCGGGUCUCUGGGCAGUAACUGACGCUGAGGAACGAAAGCGUGGGUAGCGAACAGG